rnacentral:rRNA from 1 species
GACGUAGGGGGCAAGCGUUGUCCGGAUUUAUUGGGCGUAAAGAGCGUGUAGGCGGCCAUGCAGGUCCGUUGUGAAAACUCGAGGCUCAACCUCGAGACGCCGGUGGAAACCGCAUGGCUAGAGUCCGGAAGAGGAGAGUGGAAUUCCUGGUGUAGCGGUGAAAUGCGCAGAUAUCAGGAAGAACACCCGUGGCGAAGGCGGCUCUCUGGGACGUGACUGACGCUGAGACGCGAAAGCGUGGGGAGCAAACAGG